rnacentral:rRNA from 1 species
CCUACGGGGGGCAGCAGUAGGGAAUAUUGCUCAAUGGGGGAAACCCUGAAGCAGCAACGCCGCGUGGAGGAUGAAGGUUUUCGGAUUGUAAACUCCUUUUGUUAGAGAAGAUAAUGACGGUAUCUAACGAAUAAGCACCGGCCAACUCCGUGCCAGCAGCCGCGGUAAUACGGAGGGUGCAAGCGUUACUCGGAAGCACUGGGCGUAAAGAGCGCGUAGGCGGGAUAGCAAGUCAGAUGUGAAAUCCUAGGGCUUAACCAUAGAACUGCAUUUGAAACUGUUAUUCUAGAGUAUGGGAGAGGUAGGUGGAAUUCUUGGUGUAGGGGUAAAAUCCGUAGAGAUCAAGAGGAAUACUCAUUGCGAAGGCGACCUGCUAGAACAUAACUGACGCUGAUGCGCGAAAGCGUGGGGAGCAAACAGGAUUAGAUACCCGAGUAGUC